GAUGAACGCUGGCGGCGUGCCUAAUACAUGCAAGUCGAGCGAACAGACGAGGAGCUUGCUCCUCUGACGUUAGCGGCGGACGGGUGAGUAACACGUGGAUAACCUACCUAUCAGACUGGGAUAACUUCGGGAAACCGGAGCUAAUACCGGAUAAUAUAUUGAACCGCAUGGUUCAAUAGUGAAAGACGGUUUUGCUGUCACUUAUAGAUGGAUCCGCGCCGCAUUAGCUAGUUGGUAAGGUAACGGCUUACCAAGGCGACGAUGCGUAGCCGACCUGAGAGGGUGAUCGGCCACACUGGAACUGAGACACGGUCCAGACUCCUACGGGAGGCAGCAGUAGGGAAUCGUCCGCAAUGGGCGAAAGCCUGACGGAGCAACGCCGCGUGAGUGAUGAAGGUCUUCGGAUCGUAAAACUCUGUUAUUAGGGAAGAACAAAUGUGUAAGUAACUAUGCACGUCUUGACGGUACCUAAUCAGAAAGCCACGGCUAACUACGUG
rnacentral:rRNA from 1 species